rnacentral:lncRNA from 1 species
AAGUCAGUUAGGUCUGCUUGUUUAGUGCUUACUUGGACUUCUAAUUUUACAUUACUCCAUAUAGAGCAGUUAUUAAUAAGUUGUUUCGUAAUAAACAGAACAUUUUGAGAAGCAAAAGGAAUUGCACACAGUCUUUUGUUGAUCUCGAGAAUAUGUAGAAAGAAGCACUUUGCAAAUUACUGAACUUUACAUAAUAAAUAAAUCAAGCAUUUAUGCAUACCGUAUUAAAAGACUUUCUUUGCAUGAGUGUUUGGUUUAUUUAUUACGUGAUCUCAAGAAAGCCUAUGACUGAUUAUCAAGAGAGGUGUUGAAGAAACGUCUCUACAAACAUCAUAUUCCAGAGAACUUUUUGUGAGAUUGAUCCAGGAUACUUGUGCCAACCUUAGAACUUGUAUUAAAACCACCUGAAGGAGAUAAACAGAAAUUUGAAAUAUCAGUUGACAUGCAUCCAGAUUCAACACCUAGUCCAUUGGUCUUUGUGGUGGUUCUGGACUCCAUUUCUAAGGUGAUACCAUAUUAAACCUUAUAGUGUAUGCUCUAUGUUGAUGAUGUCAUCCUUGUCAAAGAAAUGAGAAAAGAGAUGAUUGACUAUAUUGGAGAAUAUUGUGCUAAGAAUCAGCAGAGCAAAGAUCAAAUAAAUGAUCUAUGGACUAGACUGCAUAGAUGGAUCACUAUUACAACUUGUAGAUUGGCAUUAUAUCCAAAAAAUACCUUUAAAUACUUUGGUUCUACAGUGAAGAAUGGUGGAAUAAUUGGGUUUCAAGUAAAGUAAAGAUUGCAUGGUGAUAUAAUGUAUGGCCAUCAAAUGUCUUGAAUGUUACUUUCUGAAAUAAAAUAGAAUGGAAGAUAAUACUUAGGACUCUAUCAUUUACAUAAUAAUAAUUUAAAAGCUACUUAUUUUCCU